CCAGAGCCUGCUAAGUGGGAAAAGCCUCAAGAGGGAGUGUCCACACAACCCCACUGGGGACAGGGAUCUUUCAGGCAGUGCCCAGAUAACUAAACCAGGAUCUAACAGCUGCCACAGAAUCAAUCCUCAUAACCAAUCCUGAUAGACAAAGAGGAAGAAGGCAGAAGUAACAUCUCCAAUUACUAAGAAUCCCUAACAAUGGGAGCAAAGACAGCGAUGAUCUGUGCUAAGAGCCAUCCCUCCCUGGUGCCUCACAGUGGCACUCAGUGAGUGCCCGUGCUCUGGGGGUUCUGCUUUCCAUGCUGUGUGUCCCUGCCCUGUGCCACAGCCCAUGGGCUCCUGGAAGGAGCUGCUGCAGCUGCCUGUGGAGCUACCCUGCAAAAUGAGCAACCCAAAGGACUGGAUUUAAAGUUACCUUUUCCUUUGUGUUCCGGC